rnacentral:SRP_RNA from 1 species
CGGAAGGCUGGAUGGACGCUCUCUUAUGCUUACCCUGGUCAGAUCCGAAAGGAAGCAGCCACAGUAUUUCUGAGCGGGUCGUCCAGUCUUUCAUUU